CAGACCUGAAAUCAGGCGAGGUUACCCGCUGAACUUAAGCAUAUUAUUAAGCGGAGGAGAAGAAAAUAACUAUGAUUCCCUUAGUAACGGCGAGUGAACCGGGAUCAGCUCAAAGUGGAAAUCAACUGCUCUUUCCGAGCUGUUGACUUGUAGCCUCGAGAGGCGUUACCAGUGGAAGCGCAGGGUUAAGUUUCUUGGGAAAGAACAUCAUAGAGGGUGAGAAUCCCGUCCUUCCCCUGCGU
rnacentral:rRNA from 1 species